rnacentral:lncRNA from 1 species
UGUGGAGUAAGAUUAUGUUGUGAUAAUUUGAGGUGGUAUUGUUUGUGUUUUAUGGUGGCAGUAACGAGAUAGGGUGAUUUAAAUGAAGUGUAGAAUACCUUGGCUUAUGAUGGUGGUGGACUUAUUUUACAGCAACAAUGAAGUGCUUCUUAUUCAAUCACAAGGGAUAAAUCUAAACAACUACUUACUUUGGAUGGAAAUAGGAGUGUGGCCUUUCCUCUCUUUAUGCAUUUCUGAAUGGUUGUGGGUGACCAUGUGUGGAAAGUAUCAAAAAUUUCUAAUAAUAACACAAACAGUGAAGAGAAUUCUGCAGAAAUUCAAUCAUGUAUUCAACACACAGACAAUAUAGAAACUAAACAUGAAGCUUUCACCAACAUGAUCAAGUGCUAUAGAGAUCAUUGCAAUACAGAUCAAGAAUAUAACUUUAUAUUACAUAACAACAAACACACUAACACUAUUAUCACAAACAAACAUCAGAAUAAUGCUUUUAUGAUACAACAUACGGAUAGCAUAAUGUGCAUUAUAGAAUCAACAGCAUCUAACAGCACUAAGUAUCAGAUCUGGUUUAGGCAAUCUAUACUCACACAUUUGUUCUUAGUUGUAUUUUACACAACAUUGAAAUUAUGUUCAUAUCAUAGAACAGCGC